rnacentral:rRNA from 1 species
AUACGGAGGGUGCAAGCGUUGUUCGGAAUUAUUGGGCGUAAAGCGCGUGUAGGCGGUUGUGUAAGUCCGAUGUGAAAUCCCCCGGCUUAACUGGGGAAGUGCAUUUGAAACUGCACGACUAGAGUACGGGAGAGGAGAGUGGAAUUCCCGGUGUAGAGGUGAAAUUCGUAGAUAUCGGGAGGAACACCAGUGGCGAAGGCGGCUCUCUGGCCUAAUACUGACGCUGAGACGCGAAAGCGUGGGGAGCAAACAGGAUUAGAUACCCUGGUAGUCCACGCUGUAAACGAUGGGCACUAGGUGUAGGAGGUAUUGACCCCUUCUGUGCCGAAGCUAACGCAUUAAGUGCCCCGCCUGGGGAGUACGGCCGCAAGGUUAAA